UACGGGGGGGGCAAGCGUUGUUCGGAAUUACUGGGCGUAAAGGGUUCGUAGGUGGCGCACUAAGUCAGACGUGAAAUCCCUCAGCUUAACCGGGGAACUGCGUCUGAUACUGGAUGGCUUGAGUUUGGGGAGAGGGAUGCGGAAUUCCACGUGUAGCGGUGAAAUGCGUAGAGAUGUGGAGGAACACCUGCGGCGAAGGCGGGUUGCUGGGCUGACACUGACGCUCAUGCACGAAAGCGUGGGGAGCGAACAGG
rnacentral:rRNA from 1 species